AGAGUGAACGCUGGCGGCAGGCUUAACACAUGCAAGUCGAGCGGGCGUAGCAAUACGUCAGCGGCAGACGGGUGAGUAACGCGUGGGAACAUACCUUUUGGUUCGGAACAACACAGGGAAACUUGUGCUAAUACCGGAUAAGCCCUUACGGGGAAAGAUUUAUCGCCGAAAGAUUGGCCCGCGUCUGAUUAGCUAGUUGGUGAGGUAACGGCUCACCAAGGCGACGAUCAGUAGCUGGUCUGAGAGGAUGAUCAGCCACAUUGGGACUGAGACACGGCCCAAACUCCUACGGGAGGCAGCAGUGGGGAAUAUUGGACAAUGGGCGCAAGCCUGAUCCAGCCAUGCCGCGUGAGUGAUGAAGGCCCUAGGGUUGUAAAGCUCUUUUGUGCGGGAAGAUAAUGACGGUACCGCAAGAAUAAGCCCCGGCUAACUUCGUGCCAGCAGCCGC
rnacentral:rRNA from 1 species